GAAGGCAGCCACCUGGGAUAAUAUAGAUGCUCAUGCAGGCAAGAGUGCGGAGCAAUCAGGCAUAGAUAGCUUGGUAGUUCGUGCCCUAAAUGAUGUCAGGUAGCUGUUGGGGGCUUAGACCUUUAGUAGCUCAGAUAAAGAGCGAAGUGGAUCGCACGGGGAGUGCGGUCGCAAGAUUAAAACUCAAAGGAAUUGGCGGGGAGUCGCACACAGCGGGAGAUGAUGUGGAUUAAUUUGAGGCAACGCGAAAAACACUUACCUUCCCUUGACAUGUCUGGAAUCCCGAAGAGAUUAUGGGAGUGCUGGCACGAGAACCGGAACACAGGUGCUGCAUGGCUGUCGUCAGCUCGUGUCGUGAGAUGUUGGGUUAAGUCCCGCAACGAGCGCAACCCUUGUCAUUAGUUGGUCAGAAAGGUCAGUUUAAUGAGAUAACGGGUGACAAACCGGAGGAAGGUGGGGAGGAGGUCAAGUCGUCAUGUCCUUUAGGGGUAGGGCUUCACGGGUCAUCCAAUGGUCGGGACAGAGGGUCACCAGCCCGCGAGGGGGAGAUAAUACCAGAAUCCCGAUAGUAGUCUGGAUGGUAGUAUGCAAGUCGACAUACUUGAAGUCGGAAUGGUUAGUAAUCGAGGAUUAGCAUGUCGCGAGAGAAUACGUUGACACGGGUUUUGUACACACCGCACAGUCACACCCAUGCAGAGUCGGUUUCACCAGAAGUACUUAAACCUAACUACAAGGGGGGACGAUUCCCAGGGUGGGGUUCAUGACUGGGGUGAAGUCG
rnacentral:rRNA from 1 species